GCCGACGUGGCGGAAUUGGUAGACGCACUACCUUGAGGUGGUAGCGGGGAAACCCGUGGGGGUUCGAGUCCCUCCGUCGGCACCA
rnacentral:tRNA from 2 species